UACGAAGGGGGCUAGCGUUGCUCGGAAUUACUGGGCGUAAAGCGCACGUAGGCGGUCUUUUAAGUCGGGGGUGAAAUCCUGGAGCUCAACUCCAGAACUGCCUUCGAUACUGGAAGACUUGAGUCCGGGAGAGGUGAGUGGAACUGCGAGUGUAGAGGUGAAAUUCGUAGAUAUUCGCAAGAACACCAGUGGCGAAGGCGGCUCACUGGCCCGGUACUGACGCUGAGGUGCGAAAGCGUGGGAG
rnacentral:rRNA from 1 species